rfam:Felis catus isolate Cinnamon breed Abyssinian chromosome B4, whole genome shotgun sequence.
ACCUGGCUGGCUAAGUUGGUGGAGCAUGGGACUCUUGAUCUCGGGGGUGUGAGUUCUAGCCCCAUGUUUGGUG